rnacentral:rRNA from 1 species
AUGUGUUUGCGUAUGUCCGAUAGAUCUACUGUUGUGGAUUGGAGAUUUGAAAAGGAUAUUAAAAGAAAACGAUUGCUUAAUUAUAGUAUAGAUUUUGGAGUUUGUAUAUUUUGUGGCAAUUGUGUUGAGUACUGUCCAACAAGCUGUUUAUCAAUGACUGAAGAAUAUGAACUUUCUACCUAUGAUCGUCAUGAAUUGAAUUACAAUAAAAUUGCUUUAAGUUAG